GGUGUUGGUCUCCAGCUCUGGGUGCUGGAGGGGACACAGCGGGGCCGGGAACCAGGGGACAGAGCGAGCCACAGACCGAGGGGAAGGAGACACCCAGAGCCACUGGACCUGGAGGCAGCCCCUCCCCUCCUUGUCACCUUCCCCCCCCCGAGCCACCUGUGAGGCUCAGGUGACCUUGGGUGCUUUCAGUACCUGGAGGACUCUGCCUAGCUCAGGACAUGGCAGGACUCUGCCUCGUCUUUCCUAUAAAUAUGAAACAUGGGCCAGAGCAGGGAAAGACGCCUGGAAGAUUCAAGUCCUAAAAGAGGCAGAACACGCUUCAGGAUGUCCACGUUGCAGCAAAAACCAGAAGAGCCGAGGAAGGAUGGACAGCCG